CAGGACUCAGACACCAUUAUACAAAACAUCUUCAACAAGAAGAAAAGCGCAUGCUAUCUUUUGCCCGCUUUCAAUCAGUUGCUUCAAAUCUUCAAGUGCUGGGGAAAACAUACUAUUGUCUGAUAGAUCUGUUUCUUCUAGCUCUAAAACUAUAAAAAAGAUUCCAGCAUGUCCAAAUUUCGCAAGAAGCAACUCCAAAUCAAGUGCUGAAACACCUUCAUUGAGCUCUUCAUGUAAAAGGAAUAAAACAAGGCAAAUUAAUGUAUAGAAGUCCGAACAAACCGAUGAGUUUUUUGUCCCUUAAGAGAAUACUAGCUGGUCAAGUUUUUAUUCGAUGGGUUUUGUUUCUAGCAAAUGAACCUUUUUGAAAGCACCUGAAAGACUGUUAUUCACAAAUCUAAUAACUAGAUGAUAUUUUUGAACUAUAGAACAGAUGCAUUUACAUGUACCAUGAUCUAACCAAUGAGAAUUUGAUGAAAAUGAAAAAAUAUAUGUUGGAGUUUUAUCAUAGAUUUUGAUA